AUACUUACCUGGCAGGGGAGACACCAUGAUCAGGCAGGUGGUUUUCCCAGGGCGAGGCUCAUCCCCUGCACUCCGGGUGGUGACCCCUGCGUUUCCCAAAAUUGCGGGAAACUCGACUGCAUAAUAUUUGUGUAGUGGGGACUGCGUUUCCGCGCUCUCCCCUG
rnacentral:snRNA from 1 species